rnacentral:rRNA from 1 species
UACGGGGGGGGCAAGCGUUGUUCGGAAUUACUGGGCGUAAAGGGCUCGUAGGUGGCCAACUAAGUCAGACGUGAAAUCCCUCGUCUUAACCGGGGAACUGCGUCUGAUACUGGAUGGCUUGAGUUUGGGAGAGGGACGCGGAAUUCCAGGUGUAGCGGUGAAAUGCGUAGAUAUCGGGAGGAACACCAGUGGCGAAGGCGACUUCCUGGCCUGUUCUUGACGCUGAGGCGCGAAAGCUGGGGGAGCAAACGGG